AGCGAACGCUGGCGGCAGGCCUAACACAUGCAAGUCGAACGAACUCUUCGGAGUUAGUGGCGGACGGGUGAGUAACACGUGGGAACGUGCCUUUAGGUUCAGAAUAACUCAGGGAAACUUGUGCUAAUACCGAAUGUGCCCUUCGGGGGAAAGAUUUAUCGCCUUUAGAGCGGCCCGCGUCUGAUUAGCUAGUUGGUGAGGUAAAGGCUCACCAAGGCGACGAUCAGUAGCUGGUCUGAGAGGAUGAUCAGCCACAUUGGGACUGAGACGCGGCCCAAACUCCUACGGGAGGCAGCAGUGGGGAAUCUUGCGCAAUGGGCGAAAGCCUGACGCAGCCAUGCCGCGUGAAUGAUGAAGGUCUUAGGAUUGUAAAAUUCUUUCACCGGGGACGAUAAUGACGGUACCCGGAGAAGAAGCCCCGGCUAACUUCGUGCCAGCCGCCGCGGUAA
rnacentral:rRNA from 1 species